ACGGUUGACUGGCCUGCCCUGCUGAUCCUGAGCAAUAUGUGUGUGGGUCCCGUGUGGUUCAGUUGAUAGAACAUGGCGCUUGCAACACCAGGAACUUGGAAAGGAUGAGGGAGGGAGCUGUUGAGAUCUCAGGUCAUUGCAGAAGGAUGGACCAGGGUGCCUGCCCCCAUCCAGGAUCCUCAUGAUGGACUUAAGAGGGGCCAGCCAUCUGGCUUAAAAAGCCUGAGUCUGCCAUGCGCAGAGGGUUGUGAGGUAUUCAGGAGGUGGGACUGCCCAGUUCAGGAGGCCCCUAGCACACAUUGACUAGAAUGUAUCUUUAAAACCCCAAAUGGAUGCUAGGCUAACUGACUGUCUUGGCUUAUACAACAAAUAGGCUAUCAACUUUUUGUUGUGAUCAGUUUACAUUAUACAGUUUGUGUCUAUAGACCAGGUACAGUCCUCAUCUAACUUUAACUGUUCCCUAUGUCUCUCUGGCUGGGUGGGUUCAGGAUGCAUUUCCUGCUAUUUUCCCUGGGCCAGCCACUGGUCAUGGUCCGAAUGGGCACCGACCCUGAGCCGUGACCCCGAGACCCGGCCAGGACCCUGCCCACCUCCUGCUGUGGGCCUUCAGGCUGCUGAAGAGACCGGGGAGCGGAAGACAUAUGGCGUACCUCAUGGUAAAGAUCACACGUUCCAAACAAAAGAUUGCUACAAUUGGACCAGAAACGCAGAGGGAUCAGGGCAUCUGCGACCUUGCUCUCUCCUCGCCACACAAAAACAACUUGCACUCGCAGAGUUACCACCACUCUGUGGCUGUUGCUGCUGGCUUUUGCCCUGAUAUACCAUCUGUUGGUCUUCAGCAGGAAUGUGAAAAGGCUGUUCCGUUGAGGGUUCUUCGGCAUACCAAAUAAAACAUUUUAGCAAUGAAAGUUGAUUGUUUUGUUGUGGUCAUUUCACUAUACUGUAAGGAGUCAUUAUAGAUGAGCCGUUAGUCUAGGGCUAGGCCGAGAGGCUAAGUGAUGGAGGUCUCAGAACCUGUAAGCCAAUGACCAAUCAGAGAAUGAAACAAAGAUGCACACGUUUGAGGUGGAGAACUGACCCACUUUAUUGAUUGGUCUGAACUCUUGUAAUAGACUACUAAGAGACAUUGUGCGAUACAAACAUUGCAUUUCAACAUCACGGGAUACAUGGGUUUUCAAGUCUCAAAUUUUAAAACAGCCAAAAAAAGUUAGCACUGGAUGUUGACAGAUUGGAUGCCACCCAAAUGGCACCCUAUUCCCUAUAUGGUCCACAGGCUCUGGUCAAAAGUAGUGCACUAUAUAGGGAAUAGGUUGCCAUUGUGGACACAGCCAUCAAGCUGAAAAGACGCACUAAUUAUUUUCUGGCUUCAUUUCGAUUUUCUUUUUUAAGAUUCAAGUUUUGUAAACUUUUUGUCAUUGCCGUUGUAAACACUUGACAUCCCAUCAAAAAUAGGAUGUUGAAUAACUGAUGUUGAAAAUGAUAGGAAAAAAAUCAGAACAUCAGCUCUAGGACUUAACAAUUCAAAAGCAAAAAGAAAAUGAAAAUAAAUGAAAAGAUCUGGUUUAGAGCAGAUUGGGAUUGUUAUUUAAGCAAAGCAAAAGCUGAGAGAACCAAAACACAUGGUAUGCUUUCACAUAUCCGGACAUAAAGGUCUUUCAAUGGAACAUUACUGUCAUUAUCAAUGCUGACCUAGUCAUAAUUCAACAUUUAAAGAAGCUACAUGUCUGUUGCCAAAAAACGGUUGAUAUAAAUCUUGAAUAUUGAGAGAAUAGAUUACGAGGCCAUGGAUUUGAAUAGUCACCAUGACAGCAAAAAAACUACUCUUCCUUAACAUCUUGACUGUACCCUACACAAAAGUAAAACUGCAAUGCAUGUGUCACACUACAAAACCAUGUACCAGCUACAAGAGAAGACAGGAACUCAGUCAUAAACAUCCAGGUUUCCAUGAGUGAUGGGCAAAGUCAAAGCACAUCUCAGUACAAUCCUCUGCAGGAGCUUGAAUAAGUUAUACAACAGGUAGAAAGUAUGCUUUUGUUGUCAAAGGUUACAAAGCAAAAAGUGCAACAAUGGUGCAGACCAUUUAUGUUUGGUUAGUUGUCUUUUUUUGUCUAAAACAUAAAAGACAAAUCACACAAAUCGGUUUUCUGUCAAGACAGUAUAAAAAAAAGUUAAGAGGGACUACGGAAACAUAACAAAAAAACAUCAACGUAUAGCUCUGAGAAAAUGUGUUUAAAGCUGCCUUAUUUUUCUCCAGCCACAAGGCAUCGGCGAACCUCUAAAAAAAGGUUCCUGAUGUACUUUAGUUACCUUGACAACAUGGGUUGCAGAGUACUGUAAGUAGAACAUUCUGCACUUGUUGGAAACCCUAGAGGGACAGCUACGGGUCAGACUGUGCGCCAUACAGUACACCCACCGUGGUGGUGGCCAGCUUAAUCCAAAAACUAUUGGCUCAAUGACAGAGUUCAGAUCAACAUGGGGGCCCAGAAGUAAAGUAGUCAUGAGUAGAAGAAACAACUUGGGACAACGUCAAGCUUAUUAAUUAGUCUUCUUUUGCCUUUCUGCUUGCUCCUACACCAGUGUUCUCAACUUGUACCAAAGACAUUGGUUUUGUUUUUCUCAAGGGUGUGGUGACGGACUGACAAAAGCUUUCUUUAAAUUCUAGAUCAGGGGGAAUAUUGUUAGAUCCAUGCAUCAUCUUUCUCCACAGUGUUGCAAAGACAGGCAUCAAAUUACAAAGCCGUAAUUUAAAUGUUAACAUGUUUGUUUCAUUCACUUAUGUCCACAAUAUUCAGGCUUUGGUGGUGCUUGGUGGUUAGGGCGCCUCCUACACUUCUCUGUUCCCCACUCAUUAUCAAGUACAACCCACAGGUUCUGUGUCUCUCAGCUUCACUGUGGUGCUAGAUAGGUGGGGGGUAAGAGAUGGACAGGGAGAGACCGACUGUGAUAUUCAAGAUUAAACCCCCCCCCCCCAAUUCAUUCAAUAACAAAGUGGAUCCAUUUAAAAGCAUCACUAAAA